AGAAGUAGUAACCCUUCCAUACUUCAGUUCCUUGGAACUCAAUUGUCUAAUAAAGAUGGCCAAAUACUUUACAAUGGCAGGUAAACAUCAUCUCUAUUUCACAGAUGGUGAAAUUUAGCCACACAGCAUGACCUGCCCAAGGUCAAACAUCAGCUCAGUGGCGGAGCCAGGAAUUCAAUCUACGUCUCUUGACUCCCAGUUCAGUACCCAAAGAACUGGAGAUUAUAUGGAAGCAUCUGAAUAAACAAGAAUCCUAGCUUCUAGAAAAAAUCCAAUGUUCUCAAUGACAACUCUUACAUUGAUGAUCAUUCUAAUGGGGAAAACAAUUCAGCAUUCAUUCAGACUAUAAUAGGCUUUGCUCCAGAAUUCUUCCCAUCUUAUGAAUACAUGAUGCUGCACUCUGGGUUGGCAAAAAAGAUAGCUGUUUAUAUCCAAUACGGCAUACUGCAGCAGAGAAAGUUGUGAUGAGUCUCAUUCAUUGGGGACAUGGCUUCACUUCUGGACUCAAAC